UGAGACCAAGAAGCCACCAAUUCCGGACACAAUAUGAAGGGGGAAUCUGGAAUAUUUCAAGAUAAGGUCCAAUUCUUCCAUUGUCUCGUAAUCCAAUGCAGAGAUGUGAAAUGUAAGAUCAUCUGAAGGAGAGCUUUGGUUCAAGUCAAAUGCAUGCCUCAACCUAGCAGAGCCAAAGAGAUACUUGUAUGAUGACAUGACUUUUGCCUUCUGCCAUGAUUGUGAGACCUCCCCAGCCACAUGAAACUAAUAUAAGACUUCACAACCUGCUGAAAAUGAGCUUUCCUAAUAACUCGGGACCUACCUGUCUAGGAAUAAACCAUCCUAAACAUGAAAGAUCAGAGAAAAUAGAAACACAAUAUAAUUUGGCUCCGCACCUGAGAUGCUCUCCAGCCAUGAUGGUAGAGUUCCUCAUUCUAGGGAUUAUGGACCCAGGCCAAGCCUGCUCCUUGAUA
rnacentral:lncRNA from 1 species